GAUGCUAAGCCGGGUAUUAGCGGGCUGCUUUGAUGUGGCAGAAUUCAAGGGUUUCAACCUCUUUGGCGUUU
rnacentral:tRNA from 1 species